rnacentral:lncRNA from 1 species
GCUGCUUUCUUAAACGGAAAUUGAGUCCUAUUUUGUGGGAAAUUAGUUUUGCAGACUUUCUGAAAAAAAAAAAAAUCUAAAACUUUUGUUCAGCAGCUGCUCCACUUUUCCCUGCAGUUUCAGGCUGAGCUGGAACCUGCAGCAGUCUUUCGACGAGUGUACUGAGAGUAUAAGUACUGUAUACAUGGCUCUGAAGUUGAGGCCACAAUCAUGCAAGCAUAUACACACAGUAAAUGCUCAAGGCAGUUAAAGAAAAGCACAUGCCAAAGACUUAGGAGCAGCUGGCCCCAAAUUCUGGCCUCAACACAUCAUGUGAAAUUGAACAUGUGUGGACUAGGUUUGACUCCCUUCAGAUGCCUCUGGAACACAAUAAUAUCCCAUUGGGUAAGAAAUCUGUUCUAUCUUCCAAACUACUUAUGCCAAUAACUUAAUAUUUC